rnacentral:rRNA from 1 species
UACGUAGGGCGCAAGCGUUAUCCGGAAUUAUUGGGCGUAAAGAGCUCGUAGGCGGUUUGUCGCGUCUGCCGUGAAAGUCCGGGGCUCAACUCCGGAUCUGCGGUGGGUACGGGCAGACUAGAGUGAUGUAGGGGAGACUGGAAUUCCUGGUGUAGCGGUGAAAUGCGCAGAUAUCAGGAGGAACACCGGUGGCGAAGGCGGGUCUCUGGGCAGUAACUGACGCUGAGGCGCGACAGCGUGGGGGAGCAAACAGG